UGCGUGAAUGACUUGUAAUAUAAACAUUUGUUAACUCCGUGGUCUUGUUGCAUGUAUCAUCAGAAAAUUUUUUUAUGAUGAGGACAUCUACAAUCACAGUGGUGGUAGUUUUGAUCGCAAUUAUAUAUACAGAGCAGGCAUCGGCACAAAGCUGGUGGGAUAGAAUCCUCGGACGUGCCCGGAGUGGAUGGAACACUGCUAGAGACCAUGCAAGACAAGCCGCACAGGACGUCCACGAAACGGCCCACUCUGGGUUUGACCUCGCUAGACAGGCUGUGCAAGACGCCCAUGAUGCGGCCCACACUGGGCUAGAUCUCGCUAGAGAGGCUGCUCGUGGCAUUGGAGACAAGUUUCGCUCUCGGUUAGAACAAGCCAGGCGACUUGCCCAAGAAGCCAGAGACGCAGUGAUAGACUAAAGUGAUCAAGAAUCAGCUAUGUAUUGUGAUGAUAUGGUUACUGCGAAAACAGUGGAGUCCAAAGCCUUUGUCUUAUUAAUACAAGUCAGCAGACAACUUUUACUUUGUGUACACAUACUAUAAAAUAAAGCAAUGAUAAAAGAA